rnacentral:rRNA from 1 species
GACGAACGCUGGCGGUGUGCUUAACACAUGCAAGUCGAACGGUAAGGCCCUUUCGGGGGUACACGAGUGGCGAACGGGUGAGUAACACGUGAGUAACCUGCCCUCAUCUCUGGGAUAACAGUCGGAAACGGUUGCUAAUACUGGAUAUGAGCUUGCAAGGCAUCUUGUGGGUUGGAAAGAUUUUUUUUGGUUGGGGAUGGACUCGCGGCCUAUCAGCUUGUUGGUGAGGUAGUGGCUCACCAAGGCUUCGACGGGUAGCCGGCCUGAGAGGGCGACCGGCCACAUUGGGACUGAGAUACGGCCCAAACUCCUACGGGAGGCAGCAGUGGGGAAUAUUGCACAAUGGACGGAAGUCUGAUGCAGCAACGCCGCGUGCGGGAUGACGGCCUUCGGGUUGUAAACCGCUUUCAAUUGUGACGAAGCUUUUUUGUGACAGUAGCAGUAGAAGAAGCACCGGCUAACUACGUG